rnacentral:rRNA from 1 species
UACGUAGGGGGCUAGCGUUGUCCGGAAUCAUUGGGCGUAAAGCGCGUGUAGGCGGCCCGGUAAGUCCGCUGUGAAAGUCGGGGGCUCAACCCUCGGAUGCCGGUGGAUACUGUCGGGCUCGAGUACGGAAGAGGCGAGUGGAAUUCCUGGUGUAGCGGUGAAAUGCGCAGAUAUCAGGAGGAACACCGGUGGCGAAGGCGGGACUCUGGGCCGAUACUGACGCUGAGGAGCGAAAGCGUGGGGAGCAAACAGG